rnacentral:lncRNA from 1 species
CAAAGAGUCGGACACGACUGAGUGACUGAACUGAACUGAACUGAACUAGGAUCUCUGAGCUACAGUUUUAUGUCAGGAAUGAUAUCUACCUCUAAGGGUUGUAUACCAGGAGGUCGCCAGAUAACUUCUGGUCGCUGUGUUGUGAUUGUGAUAAGAGAAACAGAUGAACACUGAAUAACUUUUUUAUAGUCCAAAAAAUGACAAAAAUUAAAUAGAAUGAUUUAUAGGCCUUAAGAAAAAAAAAGCAAAUCUAGUUUAUCUGUACAAAAGGACUUGAAGACCACAAGACUCAGGGAAGCCCCUCAGUUAUAAACUGCUGUAUUUAUAGAAGUAUUCCAGACCAGGGAUGUUGGUUAUUACACCUUUGAUACUUUAUCUCCUUACAAUUCAGAAGUGAAUGUGAAAAUACUUAAACAUAUCAUGGUAAUUACUCAAGAAACACAUUUUUCAAUUCAGAAGAAUGUAAAACAAUAUAUAUAUAUACCUAGAUUAUUAAAUUUAUAUAUUAAUAGCAAAGCUAAAUCAUCAAAAUGACAUCUUUAGUACCUUCCAAUGACAUUGCAGAGAAAGUAUCUAAAAUAUAACUGGAUCAAAUAUGUAAUACAGAUAUUUCCAAUUCUUUCCUACUGAGUAUUGCUUUA